rnacentral:rRNA from 1 species
GAUGAACGCUAGCUACAGGCUUAACACAUGCAAGUCGAGGGGUAACGAGAGGGAAGCUUGCUUUCCUUGUCGACGACCGGCGCACGGGUGAGUAACGCGUAUCCAACCUGCCCCCAACUAGGGAAUAACCUUGCGAAAGUAAGACUAAUACCCUAUAAUUUCCUCAGAUGUCAUCUGACGAGGAAUAAAGAUUUAUCGGUUGUGGAUGGGGAUGCGUCUGAUUAGCUUGUUGGCGGGGUAACGGCCAACCAAGGCAACGAUCAGUAGGGGUUCUGAAAGGAAAGUCCCCCACAUUGGAACUGAGAAACGGUCCAAACUCCUACGGGAGGCAGCAGUGAGGAAUAUUGGGCAAUGGGCGGAAGCCUGAACCAGCCAAGUAGCGUGCAGGAUGACGGCCCUAUGGGUUGUAAACUGCUUUUAUACAGGAAUAAAGUUAGCCACGUGUGGUUAUUUGUAGGUACUGUAUGAAUAAGGACCGGCUAAUUCCGUGCCAGCAGCCGCCGUAA